CUCACGAGAAAUUAGUAAAAUUCAUUUCAAAUUCAGACCCUAUCUAAACCAAAACCCAUCCUAAAGUUAGAUAAUCUCUCUCCUCUUUCUCCUCACACACUUUAUCCUAUAUUAGAGGCCUCUCGGUUGCAAAGCCACAUCUGACGACUCCAGAAUUCUUCAAUGGUUGGAAGAAAUAAGGGGAUAUGUUAUUCAUGUAGACAGUUAAGAUACAUCUUGCCAGAUUGCCUUGGAAAGAGAAGAUGCCCAAACUAUGGCCAAGGCUAUAUUAAAUAGAUGGAGGUGGAAAAUAAAAGCGAUAACAAAGGGCGUUUGUUCCAGUGUUGUACCCGUGACAUAUGUUGAUUUUUCGAUUGGAAUAAAUCUCCUCCUGGCUGCAGUAUAUCCAUUGCAAGAUGAAGGUCAAUCAAGUAGCAUCUCCAAUUGUAGUGAACCCGUCGAUGUUUUGACGCAUAUGUUGGAAACAUGUGCUAGAGCCAAGAAAAAAGACAUUGAGAUCUCUCUCAACAUCACAACAAUUUGUAAGGGGAAACGAGAUUCAGAAGAUGUUCUAUGAACUUCGAUGUAAUGGGAUGGUGAAUGAAUAUUUAAUCUUCGAUGUGAUGCCUUAAUGAAAAUAUAUUGCUUUAAUGUUAAUGUUAAUGACAAUGUAAUGCCUUAAUGUUAAUGAAAAUGUAAUGCCUUAAUGUUAAUCUUCGAUCUGUGUUAAUGACAAUGUAAUGCCUUAAAUUUUAAUGAAAAUGUAAUGCCUUAAUGUUAA